rnacentral:rRNA from 1 species
CAGUCGCCACGGUAAUACGUAGGUGGCAAGCGUUGUCCGGAAUUAUUGGGCGUAAAGCGCGCGCAGGCGGAUCAGUUAGUCUGUCUUAAAAGUUCGGGGCUUAACCCCGUGAUGGGAUGGAAACUGCUGAUCUAGAGUAUCGGAGAGGAAAGUGGAAUUCCUAGUGUAGCGGUGAAAUGCGUAGAUAUUAGGAAGAACACCAGUGGCGAAGGCGACUUUCUGGACGAAAACUGACGCUGAGGCGCGAAAGCCAGGGGAGCGAACGGGAUUAGAUACCCCUGUAGUCCCUGUCUCUUAUACC